UACGUAGGUGGCAAGCGUUGUCCGGAUUUAUUGGGGUUAAAGGGUGCGUAGGCGGUCUUCUAAGUCAGUUGUGAAAUACUUCAGCUUAACUGGAGAGGUGCAAUUGAUACUGGAAGACUUGAGUACUGAUGAGGUAGGCGGAAUGGACGGUGUAGCGGUGAAAUGCGUAGAUAUCGGGAGGAACACCUGUGGCGAAAGCGGCGCACUGGACCACAACUGACGCUGAGGCGCGAAAGCUAGGGGAGCAAACAGG
rnacentral:rRNA from 1 species